ACAAGUAGUCAGAGCCCGUUAAUGGGUGAUGGCGUGCCUUUUGUAGAAUGAACCGGCGAGUUACGAUUUGAUGCAAGGUUAAGCAGUAAAUGUGGAGCCGUAGCGAAAGCGAGUCUGAAUAGGGCGUUUAGUAUUUGGUCGUAGACCCGAAACCAGGUGAUCUACCCUUGGUCAGGUUGAAGUUCAGGUAACACUGAAUGGAGGACCGAACCGACUUACGUUGAAAAGUGAGCGGAUGAACUGAGGGUAGCGGAGAAAUUCCAAUCGAACCUGGAGAUAGCUGGUUCUCUCCGAAAUAGCUUUAGGGCUAGCCUCAAGUGAUGAUUAUUGGAGGUAGAGCACUGUUUGGACG
rnacentral:rRNA from 1 species